ACUAUUGCCAAAUCUAUCUGAAAAGUUUAGGACAUUAAUUUUUCUCCUUUUUGAUAAUAUUUAAUGAGAAAUAACAAUUAAGAAUAAAACUUUUUCCAUAAGGAAAGGAUAGCAAUAUCCAC
rnacentral:lncRNA from 1 species